UAGGGAAUCUUUCACAAUGGACGAAAGUCUGAUGGAGCAACGCCGCGUGAGUGAUGAAGGUUUUCGGAUCGUAAAACUCUGUUGUAAGGGAAGAACAAGUGCGUUAGGUAAUGAACGCACCUUGACGGUACCUUAUUAGAAAGCCACGGCUAACUACGUGCCAGCAGCCGCAGUAAUACGUAGGUGGCAAGCGUUGUCCGGAUUUAUUGGGCGUAAAGCGCGCGCAGGUGGUUUCUUAAGUCUGAUGUGAAAGCCCACGGCUCAACCGUGGAGGGUCAUUGGAAACUGGGAGACUGGAGUGCAGAAGAGGAUAGUGGAAUUCCAGGUGUAGCGGUAAAAUGCGUAGAGAUUUGGAGGAACACCAGUGGCGAAGGCGACUGUCUGGUCUGUAACUGACACUGAGGCGCGAAAGCGUGGGGAGCAAACAGG
rnacentral:rRNA from 1 species